CCUACGGGCGGCUGCAGUGGGGAAUAUUGGACAAUGGGCGAAAGCCUGAUCCAGCCAUGCCGCGUGUGUGAAGAAGGCCUUCGGGUUGUAAAGCACUUUCAGUGGGGAAGAAAGCCUUGGGGCUAAUACCCUCGAGGAAGGACAUCACCCACAGAAGAAGCACCGGCUAACUCCGUGCCAGCAGCCGCGGUAAUACGGAGGGUGCGAGCGUUAAUCGGAAUUACUGGGCGUAAAGCGCGCGUAGGCGGUCUGAUAAGCCGGUUGUGAAAGCCCCGGGCUCAACCUGGGAACGGCAUCCGGAACUGUCAGGCUAGAGUGCAGGAGAGGAAGGUAGAAUUCCCGGUGUAGCGGUGAAAUGCGUAGAGAUCGGGAGGAAUACCAGUGGCGAAGGCGGCCUUCUGGACUGACACUGACGCUGAGGUGCGAAAGCGUGGGUAGCAAACAGGACUAGAUACCCUAGUAGUC
rnacentral:rRNA from 1 species